AACGAACGCUGGCGGCGUGGAUAAGACAUGCAAGUCGAACGGGAUUCCUUUCGGUAGCAAUACUGAGAGGAAUUUAGUGGCGAACGGGUGCGUAACACGUGGGGAAUCUGCCGAGAAGUGGGGGAUAGCUCGUCGAAAGGCGAAUUAAUACCGCAUAUGAUCAGUCAAGACAUCUUGGCGACAUCAAAGCCGGGGCAACCUGGCGCUUCUUGAUGACCCCGNGGCCAUCAGCUAGUUGGUGAGGUAACGGCCCACCAAGGCUAUGACGGGUAGCUGGUCUGAGAGGACGACCAGUCACACUGGAACUGAGACACGGUCCAGACACCUACGGGUGGCAGCAGUCGAGAAUUUUUCNCAAUGGGGCAACCCUGAAGGAGCGACGCCGCGUGGAGGAU
rnacentral:rRNA from 1 species